UACGUAGGGUGCAAGCGUUAAUCGGAAUUACUGGGCGUAAAGCGUGCGCAGGCGGUUGUGCAAGACAGAUGUGAAAUCCCCGGGCUUAACCUGGGAAUGGCAUUUGUGACUGCACGGCUAGAGUGUGUCAGAGGGGGUAGAAUUCCACGUGUAGCAGUGAAAUGCGUAGAUAUGUGGAGGAAUACCGAUGGCGAAGGCAGCCCCCUGGGAUAACACUGACGCUCAUGCACGAAAGCGUGGGGAGCGAACAGG
rnacentral:rRNA from 1 species